GGAGUGUGGGGGAGUACCCCGGGAAACGUCGGGACAAUACCGCAUGAUGUCUCUCGGGCGUCGGCCCGGGAGAGCAAGCCGGGGACCGCAAGGCCUGGCGCAUCCGGAGGGGACCGCGGCCGAUUAGCUAGUUGGCGGGGUAAUGGCCCACCCAAGGCGACGAUCGGUAGCCGGCCUGAGAGGGUGAUCGGCCACCACCGGAACUGAGACACGGUCCGGACUCCUACGGGAGGGCAGCAGUGGGGAAUUUUGCGCAAUGGGCGAAAGCCUGACGCAGCAACGCCGCGUGGAGGAUGAAGGUGCUCUGCAUUGUAAACUCCUGUCGGCCGGGAAGAAUCGGCGGGGUGCUAAUCAGCCCCGUCUUGACUGUACCGGCAAAGGAAGCCCCGGCUAACUCCGUG
rnacentral:rRNA from 1 species